UGCCUAAACUUGUAAGAAAUUACAGGCAUGGCAAAGAAAGUCCCGGAAAGACAGCAAAGAACCCAUCAUGUGGGGUUGUCUUUCCGGGCCAUACAGGGAAACUUGUAUGAACGGCUUCGGCCGUU
rnacentral:sRNA from 1 species